rnacentral:lncRNA from 1 species
UUUAAAGCGAUAAAUAAAAUGGAGUAAGAUCUUUUUUUAUUAUUAAGGAUAUAAUAGAUAUUUUAUAUAAUUUUUUUAAAAAUAAAUAACCAAAUAUAAGGCACUUUGAAAUAUGCUAUCAUUGUAUGGUAAAUCAAAUAUGUCAAAACUAUUUUUUCAAGUAUUAUAUUUUCAAGAUCAAAUAAGCUUUAGAUGUAAUGGAAA